rnacentral:rRNA from 1 species
UACGUAAGGACCGAGCGUUGUCCGGAAUCAUUGGGCGUAAAGGGUACGUAGGCGGUUAGAAAAGUUAGAAGUGAAAGGCUAUAGCUCAACUAUAGUAAGCUUUUAAAACUGUUUAACUUGAGAGAUGGAAGGGAAAGUGGAAUUCCUAGUGUAGCGGUGAAAUGCGCAGAUAUUAGGAGGAAUACCGGUGGCGAAGGCGACUUUCUGGCCAUUAUCUGAUGCUGAGGUACGAAAGCGUGGGUAGCAAACAGG